AGAAACUUAGGUUAAUUUAAACCAAAGGCCUUCAAAGCCUUAAACAGGGGUUAAACCCCCCUAGUUUCUG
rnacentral:tRNA from 1 species